UUCUGCUGCUCAUUGAAAGCAAACGUCUCUCCCUUUGUUACUUUCUUUUUGCUAAUUUGAAGUUCAUUUUGGUGUAUGUAGAGGAAAGUCUUGUUCCACAACAUGAGGUAGAUUGAAGAUGUGCAGAAUAAGUAUAGGGGUUUUGUCCUGCUCAUCCUAAAAGGAAAACAGAAAAGCUAAUAAAUCUGUAAAGGAGAGAAGUGGUACUAGUGGGUGUAUUUCUGUCAGUAUUAUGUUGCAUGGAGGCUAAAACCGUUUCUAUGAGAAAUCUUCAGUGCUUUCCUCUUGUAGCAAACAAGCAAAGUGACAGCCUGUGAAACACAAGGUACUGUUUGCUUUAAUUAGGGUUUAUCUCCCAUUAUACCUUAGUUGAGAACAAGAUGGCAUGGGCAGAGAUGCAGAGGGUUUCCUCAUGUAUCUAAAAUGAGAUUUGUGGUUUUCUUUUUGCUUGCUCUUCCUCACAGAUUUUGGAUCUAUUAAAUAGAUUCACAAGGCGCUAUUAGUGCUCUGCUCUGUGGGCAUCUACGAAUCCUGCAGCUGCUCCACUAGCUGUACGUUGUCUUUCUCCCAGUUAAUCUAAGCUGUGCAGACAAGCCAUAUCAAUCAAACCAUGCUCUUAAAUUGAGCUGCUUCCAGCCACAUGGAAAAGCCCAGGCCCUGCUGUCAGUUGAGCUGGCCAUGAAUCGCGGUUCACACCAUCCAACGUGUGGCCCUCUUCUCACAUAGGAUAACAAGCUGAGGUGAAGACAGCAAGCACCCAAGGGCAGCAGCAGCCUGAGGUGGCUCCUGCUGUGACAGCAAAGGCAACUGCUGAUGGCUGUUGCUGGAUACAAAACUCUGACAGCCCUUGAUCUGAACAGGCUAGUGAGUUGUAACCAGCAGUUUCUGGAGGGUUUUCACAGAAAGUAUAGGCUUUCUUAUGGGGUGUUUACAUCACUCAGUGUAAAAACAUACAGAGACAUUCAACAUAGCAAUACCACACAGCUGCACCAUGGAGAGACUUUAGCUUGGUCCAGAAAGCAGCAAAAUCU